ACUUCUCUAGGGAGUUCUGAGCUGCAAGAGCCCAGCUACUCGCCGAACCCGGGCCGCCUGCGUGAGUAACUUGGGGCGGCCAGGAGCACGGGAAGGGCGCCAGACAGAGAGCCUUUGGCUGCUUCUGAGACCGGCUGUGGGCUGCCACCGCUGAGCGGCGCGGAGGCUGCAGCGUUCCCUCUCAGGACAGAAAGCAGGCGUUGGGGACUGUUACUCGCAGCCUGCCAGGGGCAGCAGCCGCCCCAGGUUCAAGUGGCUAUGUGCCAGGAUACUCAGGCGCGGCUGUUGGCUGCCCAUGGGAGAGCCAGUGCUCUCCGCAGGUCCAAAGUGCAAGGCCGGGCUAUUCCCGGACUUGCCUAGGAGCAGGGGCCCCCAGCGCGUCUGGGAUUGCCCCGGCGCGUCGGGCGCGCGAACUUGUGCGCAAGGGAGAAGAGCGCUUACCAUGGAACAUGGUCUGCGGGAGGCGGGCGUAGUCAUGAUGACCGCAACUGGAGCAGGAGCAAGCUCUCACCGCCCAUAGUCACUCCCAGGACCCUGGUCUUCCGCGGAGUUGCCGAGUCUGUGUUGGGCAGGGUGAUCUCUGCAGCUGGUUCCUCUUACCCACGCCGCGACUGCAGUUUCAUCCAUCCCAAGGGGGGCGGCACACACUACGGCGUGGCUCUGCGCUUUGCCUUUUCCAUAACUUCCGUAGGAUCCGCCAGCAGUGUACUUUCAGUUUCUACUUUGCGCUUGGUCUGCAGGUUCAAUCUUUGGGAUCAUCAGCAUGGAAUCUUCAUUAUCCCCUCUCUCCUGGGCACCUGCUUCCCGCGCACCUGGAUGAGGACCAGAGGAAUUCGCGAAUUUCCGAAUCACCGCAGGAAAAACCAGCUGGCCUGAAUCAAAGCAAUUCUGGGUAAAAGACUUCCCAGAUGAUCUCUCAACGCCUUGGCAACGCUUGGCGACUGGGAGCUAGAACCAUGAGUUGUUAAUGUGUGCACGGAAGCCACAAGUGUGCAGGACGCAAGCUGGGUUAUUGGAAGCGGACGACACCAAGGAGGCGUUGCCGCGGAUGUGGUGGACGAUGCCAAGUCGUCUUUUAAAAAAGGAAGUGAAGAAUGAUUAAGAGGGUCACGCCCUCUACCACUCCAACCUCUCUAAUCAGUCUCUUUCUGCUCCGUCUGCUGUACAUGCACCUGCUCAGGUGAGACCUCAAGGAAAAAUAAUCCUGUGGGUCCACCUAAUCUGGAACAAAGUAAAAGAGCAUCCAUCAAUACUUUGCACAAAAGGAAAUCCGUCUUCCUUUUAUCACAAUCACCAUAAAUCCAGGUAGAAUAAGGGUUGUACAUAUCUGAACUUUUGGGAAGCAUGAAAGGAAGUUAUUCAGAGCUGCAGGAAAGGCAAUGUAAAUGUUACACUGGAUUCUGCCCCCAACUAUAAAGAAUCUUUCUGAAGAGAAUAUUCAUAAAGCUUUGGGAAUUGUUAGGGUUAUAUGAAAUGGGCACAUUCUAACAACAUCAAGUAAUGAUUUUUUUUUUCUGUCUGUGAGAUAAUUAAUACCAUUUAGAAAAAAAUCCAAAAUGAAGUCUUAAAUUAGCUUUUGAUAUUUUGAUAAACUGAAUAUUAUUUUUUAUAAGAUAGAUGGACAAGAAUAAAAUGUUUAUAAAUUUUUAAAAUGCUAAUGUUUUAUGAUUAAAGAAAUGGAAUGGUUACUAUUAUGUUUGCUCAUAGACUCAAUGAACUGGACAGAAAAGCCUUUAAGGGAGAAAAUAGUAAAUACAUUUUAUGAAUUAUGGUAAAUAAAUUUUAAAAGAGAAGACAACAUUCUCAGAAUGAUCAAUAUAAUGUAUUAGAAGAAGUUCAAAUAAAAUUAUAUGAUGUCAAUUUAAAGAGAAAAUUAUUGAACAUUAACCAAUAUCUUUUAAUGUUCUACAGUCUUCAGUCAGAAUAGUCAAUUAUUGUAAACCAGAAAAUAUUUUUUGAUUAAUAUCUGAACUAUUUUUACCCAACUUAAUAUGACUACUUUUUGUAGUCUGUGAUAUGAAUUCUAUCUAUCAUUCUAUCUAUGGGUAGUAUGAAGUUCUUUUUAUUUAACUUUCCAGUAAUAACAUUCAACAUAUUUAAAACACACACACAGCGCCACACAGCCAACAUUAUGGAUAUAUGAUCUGUGUAAUUGGCACAGGGCCUUGUACUUCAUUUGAUGCUCUGCUGUCACUGUAUUGAAAUUCCUCAUUUUUAGAUAAAGGGACUCUUAUUUUCAUUUUGCACUGGGUUUCAAAAUUCUAUAAUGGUCAUGCACACUCACACAUGUUAAGUUACACAUUGUGGAUAGCAGUGUAUGUCUUUGAGGUGAUUUCAGUUUGGUGGGAAAAACAGAUGUUAAAUAUCUAAUUUCAAAGAUGAAAAAUAUCAUUAAAAGAGAAACAUGAUAUAUUAUUUGAAUCAGAAGUUUAAAGUAGUAUAGGCCCAUUUUCAUAGUUAAAUGAGGAUCAAUAAAGGUUAAUUUAUCUGUCCAAUAAACAAGCAGCUAUGAGAGGAUGACCUGUAAUUUGAUAAAAUUUAAAUUUUACCAAAUGACUAAUGAGCGUCUAUUUACAUGGUCAUGGUUUUUUUGCUGAAUUCCUAAAUAAACCAUAAAUUUAACAUAAUGCAACGUUCAAAUUGGUAAUAUUUAACCUAGAAUUUUACAGUUAUAGUCAUAAUUGGGUUAUGUUUAUUUUUAAUUUUAUAUUCAACUGAUACUGGGCUAGUUUUGUCCAGUUAUGCUAGUUUCAUAAAAUAAAUUGGAAAUUCUAUUGUUUUCUAAAACUGUCAACUGUUAAACAUGUGAACUAUUUGUUUCUGGCAGACUUACUAGAGUUCAACAAUAAAACUUACUUGAUUCCGUGGAUGAAGCCCAGGAAUAGGACGAGACUGUCAGUUUUGAGCAUUACAAGUGAGAAAAUGAAGAAGGGUUUAUUUUGAAGGCUGAAUCAAAAUAGCCAUGUCAGACUGUCAGAACUUUGCUGGAGAUGGGUAUGUUAGCAUAUCAGUGAUGGCCAGAGCCAUGGAAAUGAAUGCAAUUACUCAACCUGCAUGUUAGAAGACAGAAGAGAGAACUAAUGCUAGCAGGAAUCUUGAGGCAUGAGCAACCCUAAAAAGUAGCUGGAGAAAGGGGUGCCCAUCAACAAAACAGACGAAUACAUAGUAGGCAGCAAAGUGGGAAAGUCAGAAGUCAGUGUCUCAGAAGGCAACGGAAAAUAGAAUUUCAAGAUAGAGUAAGUAGCCAGUAUUUCCAAAUGUCACAAAGAGGUUGAAUAAGAUAGAGACUGAAAAGUGUGUCUAUUAAAUUUGGCAGAGCAGAGAUUGUCCAUGAUCCUCAUGGCAACAGUUUGAGAAGAGCAGUGUAGAUGCAAAUAAUAUACUAGCUUGCAGGGGUUGAGAGAAGAAAGAAAUAAAGUAAGAGAAUAUAACUUUUACAAAAUGUUUGGUAAUAAUAAAAGGGAUAGGGUAAUGAUUUGAAAGGCAUGGAAGUUUUUAUUUUCAAUUAUUAGAAACACUUGAGCAUAUUUAUAUAUUAAUGGAUAAAAUUAGGUUCUGCAGAACGGGGAAAGCAUGGAACCAAGAAACCCAAGAUACUCUGUUGAUUUCUUUUCUUAUUUUCUCUCCAUUUCUCCCUCCUCUUUAAUUUCAGUCCCAAAAUUCUAUAAUUCUAAACAAUCAGAAUCCACUCUCUAUCUGGGGUCUAAAUUUAUGUUCCUUACUGAAAUGUUCCCAUCGGCACUCAUCUAAUUCUGGAUUGAGUAUUGGCUUGUCUAAGAAAGAAGUCUAAUAUUUCCCAAAUCGCCUUUCAGAGAGGGCCGCUGUAGCUUUUACAUAGAUUUGCAUUAUCCAAUCCCUUUAUAUGCUAAUGUUGCAUUGUUGGCAAUCAGGGCUUUCUUUUAUAUACAGUCUUGCAUCAUUUAACAAUAUAUUCCGAGAAAUGAUAAAUUAACCUUUGCUUACUCUAACUAUUUUUACUUUAUAAACUUUUAUUUUUUUCCAACUUUUUGACUCUUGUCAUAACAUUUAGCUUAAAACACAAACACAUUGUACAGCUGUUGAAAAUAUUUUCUUUCUUUAUAUCCUUAUUCUAUAUGCUUUUUUCUUACUUUUUAAACUUUUUUGUUAGAAACUAAGACACAAACACACAUAUUAGCUUAGGCCUACACGGGGUCAGGAUCAUCAUCACUGUCUUCCAUCUCCACAUCUUGUCCCACUGGAAGGUGUUCAGGGACAAUAACAUGCAUGGAGCUGUCAUUUCCUAUGAUAGCAAUGCCUUCUCCUGGAAUACCUCUUGAAGGAGCUGCCCGGGCUGUUUUACUGUUAACUUUUUUUUUAAUAAGUAGAAGGAGUACAAUCUAAAAUAAUGAUAAAAGUAUAGUAAAAGCAUAAACCAAUAACAUAAUUGUUUAUUAUCAGGUGUUGGGUGCUGUACAGUAUUGCAUGUGGUAUACUUUUAUAGGACUGGCAGUGCAGUAGGUUUGUUUAUGCCAGCAUCACCACAAACACAUGAGUAAUUGGUUGUGCUAAGUUGUUACAAUGGCUACAAUGUCACUAGGUGACAGACAUUUUUCAGCUCCAUUGUAAUCUUAGACCACUGUCCUGCAGGCAGUUCUUUGUUAUACAGUGCAUGACUGUACUAGAUUUUGGAGGGACUAUGCUUUCAACCACUGCCUUUAUAGAAGAUUAAUUAGAAAAGAAUACACCUACAACAAAUUUCUUCAUGCAAACUGAAAAAAAUGUAAACAUAUUUUGUUUAAAUCACUGGAUAGAUUCCCUUUAUAUGAUCCAGUUACUAUAUGAAGAUGUCAACUUGUUCUUAUGAGCUCUUGGAGAGCAGUUACUAUCUUUUUCAACCUGGAAUUCUCUGUAGUCAACAGAAUAUGUUUCAGUUUACAAAUUCUACCCAUGUAUGACUUGUGGAAAAGGGAGACAUCAGACUGCACAAGUCUUGACUCGCUGUUAUUACACAGAACCAUAUCUGAGCGAACUUGUGUUCACAUCCAAGAAUGUUACAAAACCAACUACUGAUUGAUAUUGAUAUAUCUAAAGUUGUGACAAGCUUGUUAAAAUUUUAAUAUUUAAUAUAGAUUUAGACUUCUUUUCCUAAUAUGGAAGGCUGUCUAAUAUGGAAGCCUUCUAAUAUUUAAUAUAGAUUUUAGAUUUCUUUUCCUAAUAUGGAAGUCUUCCUAAUAUGGAAGGCUGUCUUGUUGAAAUCCUUUUAUUUUUAGAUUAGAAAUUAAUCCAAUCUACCUUUCCUUCAGGCAAGCCAGGUUUGAUGCAAGCCAGGUUUGGUUCAAGCCAGGUUUGUCUUUGCCUUAGACUAUUAUUGGACUCUUAGUACAUCCAUUAACUCAUAUACAAUGUAAAAUGAUUAGGUUUAUUGCAACAGUAAUGACAUCAUAAUCUAGAAAUAUAGUGUAUGUCCCUGAGUUUCUGGGGUAUCAGUCAUUUUUCUAUGUCAAUAACGUGUCAAUUAACUGGCAUCCUACAAGCCUGGAACUACCAUUAAUGUUUUCUCCAAAUAAUUUAAUAUGUUAUCUGGCAAUGACAUAUAUAUUUCAAUGAGAAAAGCACAAAAAAUGAAAUUUUUAAGAGACGAAAACACUAAGCCAUGGAGUUUCAUGUGCCAAUGAUUUCUUCUUCAAACCAUGGAGCAGUGUGUCAUCUAUUUCUUGAGUAACAUUUUAUUAAAUGUCGGCUGUAUGCUUUCAUUUCCUUGUUUCUUUUUCUAACAAUUCUCCACUAUGUUUUACUAAAAUGUUUUUCAAUUAUGUCUUUCUCAUUUUUAAUGUUUUUAAUUUAAUUUUACAUUGACCGAUAAAAUUGUCUGUUUUCAAGUAUAUAUAAAUUGUGAAAUGAAUAAUCUAGUUACCAUAUGCACUACCUCACAUACCUAUCAUUUUUGUGAUAAGAACACUUACCUUCACUCUCAGCAUUUUUUAAAAAUAUAAUAUAUUGUUAUUAACUGUAUCACCAUAUUGUACAGUAGAUCUCUUGAACUUAUUUAUUCUGUCUAACUGAAAUUCUAUAUCCUUUGACCAACAUCUCCUCAACUUCCCCUACAACCACUCCAGCUCCUGGUAACCAUGGUUCUUCUCUUUAUUUCUAAGAGAUCAGCUUUUUUAGAUUCUAUGUAUGAAUUAAUAAGAUCAGGCAGUAUUUGUCCUUCUAUGCCUGGCUUAUGUCACUUAACAUAAUGUCCUCCAGGAUCAUCAAUUUUAUUGUAAACCACAGAAUUGCAUUCUUUUUGUGGCUGGAUAGUAUUCCAUUGUGUAUAUACAACAUAUUUUCUUUAUUCAUUCAUCCACUGAUGGACAUUUUGAUUCUACAUAUUGGCCAUUGUGAAUAAUGAUGCUAUAAACACAAGACUGCAGAUAUCUAUUUGAAAUACUGAUUUCAUUUCCUUUGGAUGUAUACCAAGUAGUGGGAUUACUGGGUCAUAUGGUAGUUCUACUUUUAUUUUGUUGAGAAACUUUCACACCAUUUUCCAUAAUGGCUGUAUUAAUUUACAUUCCUACCAACAGUGUUCAAAUGUUGCCUUUAAUUCACAUCCUAGCUAAAGUUAUUAUUGUAUGACUUUUUCAUAAUGACCUUUCUAACAGGAGUUAGGUGAUGCCUCAUUGUGGUUUUAGUUUGAAUUGCCCCAAUGAUUAGUGAUGUUAAACGUUUUUUUUCAUAUAUCUGUUGAUCAUUUGUAUGUCUUCUUUGAGGAAUGUCUGUUCAGAUCCUUUGCCCAUUUUUAAAUCAAGUUAUUCUUUUACUUGCUAUUGCGUUGUUUGCAUUCCUUAUAUAUUUUGGAUAUUAACCUCUUAACAGAUCUAUCAUUUACAAAUAUUUUCUUCCAUUCUGUAGGUGUCUUCUCUCUCUGUUGUUUUGUUGUCUGUGCAGAAGGUUUUUAGUUUGAUGUAGUCCUAUUUUUCAAUUUUUGCUUUUGUAGCCUGUGUUUUUGGAGUCAUAUCCAAAAAGUCAUUGACCAGGUCCAUGUCAUGGAGUUUUUCUCCUAUGUUUUCUUCUAGUAGUUUCAUAGUUUCAUGUCUUACAUUUAAAUCUUUAAUCCAUUUUGAGUUAAUUUUGUAUAUAAUCUGAGAUAAGAAUCUAAUUUCAAUCUUCUGCAUUUGGAUAUAUAAUUUUCCUGAAAUCAUUUAUUGAAGAGAUUGUCUUUUCCCUGUUGUGUGUUCUUGGCUCCUUUGUCAAAAAUUAGUUGGUUAUAAAUAUGUGGAUUUUUGCCUGGGGUUUCUAUUUUGUUCCAUUGGUAUACAUUCUGUUUUUAUGCCAAUACCAUGAUGAGUUUUGGUUACUAUAGCUUUGUAGCAUAUUUUGAAGUCAGAGAGUGUGAUGCCUCUUGCUUUGCUCUCUUUGCUCAAGAUGGCUUUUGCUCUUUGGUGUCCUUUGCAGUUUCAUACAAAUUUUAGGAUUUCUUUUUGUAUUUCUGUAAAGAGUGUCAUUAGUGACUUGACAGAGAUUGUGUUGUAUGUGCAGAUUGUUUUUAGUAAUGUUGAUAUUUUAACAAUGUUAAUUCUUCCAACCCGUAAGGAUUCAAUAUAUUCCCAUUUAUUUGUGUCUUCCUCAAUUUAUUUCAUCAAUGUUUUAUAGUUUUCAGUGUAACUAUCUUUCAUCCCCUUGAUUAAAUUUAAUCCUGAGUAUUUAAUUCCUUUUGUAGCUAUUGUAAAUGGGAUUCUUUUCUUGAUUUUUUUAGAUUGUUUGCUGUUAGUGUAUAAAAAUAAUAAUGAUUUUUGUAUGUUGAUUUCAUAUCCUGCAACUUUGCUGAAUUCCUUUAUUAGUUCUAAUAUAUUAUAUGUGUAUAAUUUCUGCAUAUAAGACCGUGUCAUUUGCAAACAGAAAAUUUGCCUCCUUUCUUUCCAGUUUGGAUCCUUUCAUUUCUUUCUUUUGCCUAAUUGUUCUGGCUAGGACCUCCAGUCCUAUAUUAAAUGGACGUGACAAGAAUAAGCAUCCUUGUCAUGUUCUAGAUUUAGAGAAAAACCUUUCAAGUUUUCCCCACUGAGUAUAAUGCUAGCUGUGGUUUUGCCAUAUAUGGCUUUAAUGUAUUGAGGUACAUUCAUUUUAUACCUAUGUUUUUAAUGGAUGUUGCAUUUUUUCACUUUUUCUGCAUCUAUUGAAAUGAUCAUAUGGUUCUUGCCUUUAAUUCUAUUAAUGUGAUGUACCACAAUUAUUGAUUUAUGAAUUUUGUACCAUCCUUGCAUCCCUGGGCUGAAUCCUAUGAGAUCUUGGUGAAUGACUAUUUUAAAUGUACUGUUGAAUUUGGUUUGCUGGUAUUUUAUUGAGGAUUUUUUGCAUCUAUGUUCAUCAGGGAUAUUUGCCUGUAGUUUUCUCUUUUUGUAGUGUCUUCAUCUGGUUUUGGUAUCAGUGUAAUGCUAGCCUCAUAAAAUGAAUUUGGAAGUAUUCCAUCCUCCUUGUUUUCUAGAACAGUUUGAAAGAAUUGGUAUUAGUUCUUCUUUGAAUGUUUGAUAGAAUUCAGCAAUGAUGCCACCCAGUCCUGGGUUUUUAUUUGAUGGGAGGCUUCUUUAUUGCUGAUUCAAUCUCCUUACCUGUUUUUGAUCUGCUAAGAUUUUCUACUUCUUGAUAAUUGACAAUCUUGGAAGGAGGUAUGCAUCAUUUUUAUCCAUUUUUUCUAGGUUAUUCAAUUUGUUAAUGUGUAAUUGUUCCUAAUAGCCUUGUAUGAUCUUUGUAUUCUUGUUUUAUUGGUUGCAGUGUCUCUUCUUUUUUAUUUUGGAUUUUAUUUGAGUCUUUUUUUUUUCUUACUCUCUUAAAGGUAUCAAUUUUGUUUGCCUAUUCAAAAAAAAACCUCUUUGUUUAUUUUUUCUAGUCUAUAUUUCAUUUACUUUUGUUCUAGUCUUUGUUGUUUUCUUCCUUCUCCUAACUUUGGGCUUAGUUUGUUCUUCUUUUCUGGUUCCUUGAGAGACAGUGUUAGGGUAUGUAUUGGAGAUCUUAUGUUUUAUUGCUAUAAACUUCUCUCUUAAAACUGCUUUUGCUUUAUUCCAUAGGUUUUGGUAUGUUGUGUUUUCAUUUACAUUUGUGUCAAGACAUUUUUAAUAUCUCUUUUAAAUUUUUCAUUGACCCAUUGGUUGUCCAGGAGCAUGUUGCUUAAUUUGCAUGUGUUUGUGAAUUUUCCAAAGCUCCUUUUGUUACUGAUUUCUAGUUUUAUGCCAUUGUAGUGAGAAAAUAAACUUGAUACAAUUUUAAUAUUUUAAAAUGUGUUAAGACUUGUUUUCUGGCCUAACACAUCAUAUAUCCUGAAGAAUAUUCUAUGUGUAGUUCAGAAGAAUGUGUAUUUUGCAGCUGUUGGAUGGAAUGUUAUGUAUACGUUUGAUAGGUCCAUUUGAUCUAUAGUAUAUUGGUUAAGUGAUUAUUCCUCAUUAAUUUUCUAUGUGGAUGAUCUCUCUGUUGCUGAAAGUGGGAUGUCCCUAUUAUUAUUGUAUUGCAGUCUGUAUCUACCUUAAGAUCUACUAAUAUUUGCUUUAUAUAUUUAGGUGCUUUGAUAUUGGGUGCAUAUGUACUUACAGUUGUUAUAUCUUCUUACUGAAAAUGCCAUUAUAUAAUGAUGCUUUUUUGUCUCUUUUUACUAAAGAGGUCAUUUAUAUAAUGACCUGUGUAAAGAAGAGUCAUUAAUAUAAUGACCUUCUUUGUCUCUUUCUACAGUAUUUUACUUAAGGUUUAUUUUUAUUUGAUAGAGGUAUAGCUACUCCUGCUCUCUUUGGAUUCCAUUUCCAUGCGAUGUCUUUUUGCAUCUGUUUGCUUUUAGGUGAAGUGAUCUUGUAGACACAAAAUAGUUGAGUCUUUUUUUAUGCAUUCAGUCACUCCGUAUCUUUUUAUUGGAUAAUUUAAUCAACACAAUUAUUAAUAAGUAAAGACAUUGCCAUUUUCUAGUUGUUUUGUAGAUCUUUUGUUCUUUCUUCCUUCCUUGCUGUCUUCUUUUGUGGCUAAGUGUUUUUCUCUAGCAACAUGUUUUGACCCCUUGCUUGUGCGUGCAUGUGUGUGUGUGUUUGUGUGUGUGUGUGUGUGUGUGUGUGUGUCUGUUUCUACUUACAGGUUUUUGCUUUGUGAUUGCCAUGAGGGUUACAAAAAACUUAUUGUAUUUAUAACAGGUUAUUUUAAACUGAUUAAAAUAAAAAAAAGAACAAGAAAACCAAAAAACCUCUAUGACUUUACCCCAUUUCUCCCUCCACAUUUUAACUUUUUGUGUUGCAAUUUGCAUCUUUUCAUAUUGCAUAUCCCUUAACAAAUUAUUUUAGCUAUUAUUUUUAAUAGUGUUAUCUUUUAACCUUCAUCCUAAAGAUAUAAAUAAUUUCCACACCAUUUUUACAAUAUUAAAGUAUUCUCAAUUUGUGUACUUUUUCCCAUGAGUUUUAUACUUUCAGAUGUUUUUGUGUUACAUAUCAGCAUUCUUUUCUUUCAGACUGAAAAACUAUCUUUAGCAUUUCUUAUAAGACAGUUCUGGUGGUGAUGAGCACCUUCAGCUUUUGUUCAUCUGGGAAGGUCUUUAUAAUGCCUGUAUUUCUGGACAACUUUGCUAGGUGCAGUAUUUUUGGUUGACAACCGUGUAGCAGGCUUUUUUUUUCCCCCUUGUAUAAAUCAUCCCACUUUCUACUGGCUUUUGUAAAGUUUUAGCUGAGAAGUCUGCUGUUAGCUCUAUUGAAAUUUCUUAUAUAUUAUUUGUUUAUUUUCUUUUGCUGCUUCCCAAAUCCUCUCUUUGUCACUGAUUUUUCAUAGUUUUGCCAUAUAUGUUGGGGUAGUCUUAUUUGCAUUUAAUAUGAUUGGAGACCUUUGAUCUUGCGUGUCUAGAUAUUUACAACUAUGUUCAGGUUUGGAAAAUGUCCUGCUGCUAUUUCUUUAAGUAAGAUGUCUGCCUCUUUAUUUUUCUCUUUUUCUUCUUGAAGUCUAAUGCCUUGAACAUUUAAUGUUCUUUUGAGACUAUUCCAUAAAUGCUGUAAGCUUUAUUUAUUUACUUAUUUAUUUAUUUAUUCUCUGAUGGUAUAUUUUCAAAUAACCUAAUUUUGAGUUCAAAGAUUCUUUUCUUUACCUGAUCAUUCUGCUGUUCAUGCUCUCAAGUGCAUUUUUUAUUUCUUUCAUUGUAUUUUCAGCUCCAGAAUUUCUGUUUGGUUUUUUUAUUACUUUCAUUUUUCUACCAAAUUUUUCAUUUUGGUCACAUUGUUUUCCUCAUUUCAUUGAAUUGUGUUUCUGAAUUUUCCUAAAGUACUCCAAGCUUCCUUAAAAUAGUUAUUUUGAAUUAUUUUUCAGGUAGUUAAUACACCUGAAAAAUAAUUUAUUUAGCAUCUAUUUAUUUAGCAUCUAUUACUGGUACCUUAUUUUGUCUCUUUAGUGAUAUAUUUCAUUGAUUGUUUGUGAUCUUUGUGGUUGUGUAUUGAAGUCUGUGUAUUUAAAGUAGGUACUCAUCUUAUUCUUUAUAGACUUUUUUUUCUUGGAAAGCCCUGUGAUAAGCAUAGCACUGAUGUAUGCCAGAAGUUGGGGAAAUUGCGACUAGCUUGCUGUUUCCAGAAGUUUGGGGUCCACUGUCAUUGGUGCAGCACUGGGGUGGGCUAGAAGACUGGGGCAGAUGCCACUGCAGUGCUGGAGUAGACCAGAAUUCCAAUGCAGCUGUGGCUGACAUGGCACUGCCAGAAAACUGGAGCCUGCUAUGACAGGCACAAUGCUGGAAUGAGCUGGAAGUCCAGGGCCAUUGAGGCCUGCCUGCUACAGAGGGCUGUCUGGAUCCUGGGUCUCCUGACAUCAGCUCAGUGGUGUGGGAUAGAGAUUGAAUUUGCCACGUAAGACUGAAGGCUUAGCCUGUGUGGUCCCACUGGUUAUGAGGGAAGGCAGGCCUAUAAGUUAAUUUCAGGGGUACAAGUCUGGAAUAUGGGACCAUGGGGCUCUCCCAAGUGCUUGAUUUACUGUGGUGGGCCCAGUGUUGGGGUCCAAGGCAGAGUCCUGUGCUCACUUCCCUCUGUUUCCUCUAAGUGUACAAUAUCUCCCUACAUGCUGUGCUGCCUGGGUUUGGGGGAGGGGUGAUGCAAACAAUCCAAAACUGUUCUUCUUACCCUCUUCAAUGCAUCUUUUCCUAUUAUUGUGCCACUAUCAGGAACUAUGAUCUCUCACCUUGCUUCCCUGGCUCUUAUGAAAGUAUGUUCCUAUGUGAAGAGUUAUUCAAAUUGAUGUUUCUGCAGAGGGAUUAUCACUGGAGAGUUCUACUCUGCCAUUUUGUUCCCUAUCUGGAUACGUUAUGAAUAAUUAUAAAGCCAUCCUUUAAAUGGGAAAUCAGCAGAAGAAUGUGAUUGUAGAGGCUAAGAAGUUCCACAAUAGACCAUCCGUUUGCAAGCUGGAGAACCAGGAAAGCCAGUAGUAUGGCUUAGUCCAAGUCUGAAAGCCUUACAACCAGGGAAACUAAUGGUGUGUACCUAUCAGUACAAGGCCACAAGCUUGAGAAACUUGGGGCCACUGGUACUGGACUCUCAGUCUUGGAGUCCAAAGUCUGAUGAACCUGGGGUUCUCCUUUCCAAGGGCAAGAAAAUAAGUCUGUCCCAGUUACAGAAGAGAGAAAGAGAUAAUUUGUCUUCCCUCUGUUUUUUGUAACCAAAUAGUUUUUUUUUUUUCUGAUCUUCCUUGGUAAUACAUUGCUUUAAUCAGCAUAAUGUAAAAUUUUAUAUUUUCUGUUAUUUUCCUCAUUUCAAAAUGAUAUUCUGAAUUAUUUUCAUUCUCUGAGACCUUUACAUUUUUAUCUAAAUUAGAUAAAUGAGAUCACUUUGAUUCUAUCUCUAAACUAAUAGAAACUUUUAUAACUUUCCUAUUCUAAAAUAAAUUUCAUGAAACUAGGGCUUUUUUUUUUUUCUUUUUGGCAGAGUUUCACUCUUGUUGGCCAGGCUGGAGUAUGGUGGCGCGAUCUAGGCUCACUGCAGCCUCCGCCUCCUGGGUUCAAGCGAUUCUCCUGCCUCAGCCUCCCGAGUAGCUGGGAUUACAGGCAUCUGCCACCACGCUGGGCUGUUUUUUGUUGUUGUUGUUGUUGUUGUUGUUGUUGUUUUGUAUUUUUAGUAGAGAUGGAGUUUCACCAUGUUGGCCAGGGUGGUCUCAAACUCCUGGCCUCAGGUAAUCCACCUACCUCGGCCUCCCAAAGAGUUGAGAUUACAGGUGUGAGCCACUGCACUUGGCUGAAAUUAGGGCUAUUUAUCAAACAUAAAUAUAUCUGUCUAUAUUAAGCUAUUUGAGUUUUAUUUUUAAGCUUUUCAAUACAUGUAGUUUUCCCUUUAUUUGAAUGGUCUUAUAACCUACAAUGAGGUCUAACUGAAAAACAAAACAAGAACAAAAAUAUUGCAUGUUCAGGUGUAUUGAUCAUUUAAGAAUAAGCCAAUGGUUGAGACUAGAGAUUUUUGCAGUCAUUCUCCAAUAAUUACCAGAUUUAAAUCAGUGAUUUAGAAAUAAAAUCCAAAACCAAACAAAUCCCCAAAA